rnacentral:rRNA from 1 species
AACAAACGCUGGCGGCGUGCCUAACACAUGCAAGUCGUACGAGAAAGGGUCCUUCGGGACCUGAGUAAAGUGGCGCACGGGUGAGUAACGCGUGGAUAAUCUGCCCUUCAGUUGGGAAUAACUCAUCGAAAGGUGGGCUAAUACCGAAUGAUACUGCGAGACUUUGGUCGAGCAGUCAAAGAGAGCCUCUGCUUGCAAGCCCUCGCUGAAGGAUGAGUCCGCGUACCAUUAGCUAGUUGGUAGGGUAAUGGCCUACCAAGGCGACGAUGGUUAGCUGGUCUGAGAGGAUGUCCAGCCACACUGGAACUGGAACACGGUCCAGACUCCUACGGGAGGCAG